UAUAUAUAUAUAUAUAUAUAUAUAUAUAUAUAUAUAUAUAUAUAUAUAUAUAUAUAUAUAUAUUUAUUCAUUUACACAAAGUGCCAAUCUAAAUGGAAUUAACCCUAAAAUACAAGCUGGUGAAAAUCAUCUAUUUUUAAUUACUGUGUAUUGCUUAAGGUUUCCUUGCCAUUGUAAACUUCACGGGCAAUUAUUUUGCCAAAGGCAUAAACCUCAAUCAUGACUGCUCAUUCCAUCUGGCAUGCAUAUGUUCUCUAGCGAGUAAUCUUCCUGCCCAAAUGUGUUGCAUGUGUUGCACCUGAAUCAGUAAUAUAAUCAAUACAUAUAUUUUUAGUAAGCUAUUGUGAUCUGCCCUAUUGAGAAUGAGCCUGGUGCCUCUUCAUUACUAUGCAACACAACAAAGGACUGCAAAGCAAAGUCACAUUCAUCUCUCUACAAAGGCCCAACACCAAGCAAUUUGAUAUAUGUAUACCCAAACAUACAAAAUAUCACUUUCUACCCAUGAAAAUGUAGAGUCUGUAAAGGUCACUGAAACAUGCAAUAAAUAAUCAAGCGGGCCCUGGUGUCUCCCAAAUACAAUGUGAUAAACUUAUUUUAUCGAAUAAGACGCUCAUACUUUGUAUAUGUAUAAGCAAUCUCCAUAGCAUUUGUAAACAUGUUAAGAAAUGUAUCGAACCACAAAAAGUAUAUUUUAUGAACCAAGAGAUAAUUAUAUGCCAUUAUCUUAUAAUUCCCUAUCUUGAUAGAGGUACAAGUUCAUUGAAAAGAACUUGCAUGUUAUAGAUGACAUUUAAAAUGAUCAGAAUAUGCGCCUGUUGGUAUAAGGGAAUAUACCUCAAGGGCAGGGGUUUGUUAAAGAGCAGAUCACCCUGUGAAGUGAAAUGACACCCACAUAUACACAAAAUAUGAAACAUGACAUUUAUUAGAAUUUAAGUUUAAAUCCAGUAGGUGGUUUAACAGGUGGAAUGGGUGGUUUAGUAGGUGGUCCAUGCUUUUGCCAAGCUACACACCAGAUUUCACUGAGGAGGCCCCGAUUUGCAUUGGAGAACUGAAACACAUGCUGCCAUUCUUUGCAAUUUUGUGAAUACAUAUUAAUAUAUAUACUUUUGCAUAUAAAGAGCCAUAUUUCCAAACCCAUGUAAGACACAGCGACUUCCAUUGAAGUAUAUGAUCACUUUGUAAAUUCUUCUAUACACAUUCUUAUAAAUAAUACCCCCAGUGCCCCUAACAGUGGAAUGAGAGCAAGAGGGGAAGCUGGCCAUCAGCGCUAAAGCCUACAGAUGUAUUCAUUUCACACCAACAUUUUGACUUUUCAGAAAUGUGAUAUAUGUAGGGUGAUUUUGAGCUUCCAGUUUUGGUUUUAUAACCCCCCUAACCAAUAAUUUUUAAUGAAAUUAAUUUUUUCUUUUUUUAAAGAAAAGUGUAUUCCAGCCCUUGGUGUAUAAAUGAAUACUGUAGCUGCAAAGCAUUUCAUACUCAAAGUGUUUAUCAGGUAAGAGUGAAAUAGUAACAGUGUCAGGCAUUUCCAUUUCAGAUUUCCAUUUUCAGGCACCGGUCACAGGUUCAGGUGGAUCCAGGUAUUGAUGUGUGGGUCGGCCUGAAACCCAUGAGUAUACUUGUAAAUUGGGCGGGGUUGGGCCGACUUCCACACACGUUUUCAGGAUUGGUUCAGGUUGAGCUCUUCCUUCUGCUCUUCCUUCUGCUCUCCCUGCCUGUGACCUUACUCUGCUGGCUUCCGCCUCUGACAGCCUUUAUUUAUAGGCGUGCACAUGCCCUGCCCCCUUUUGUGACAUCAGAGAUGGGCUUGUCACGUUAUAUAAUAGAGCGCGGGGGGGGUCAUUUAUAAACACUGGGCACCUGGGCAGUAACCCAUAGCAUCAAUCAGAUGAUUGCUUUCAGUGUUCAUACUGCGGCUGAUUUAGAAAAGCUAAUCACUGAUUGGUUGCUAUGGGUUACUGCCCAGGUAUACAUUUGCAUUUAUUGCAGUUGGCCGCUGGAUUAGGCAAACUAGUUCAUAAUCACCACAUGCAGACACUCUUUAUUUAAUAUUAAGUGCAAAGUUCGUUUAUUCACCAAGAACAACUAAGCAAACGGUAGCAUUUAUUGAUUUACAGUUAGAAAGCAAAUCUCUUAAUUCCUGUGGGUUUCUGCAGCUGGGCAAACAUUGCGCCUCUUAUUACAUACACACAUAUGGGGUUAGUCACACUCUGGAUUGCCUCUUUACUAUUUGUUAAUCUUCAAUCAUUUUAGAGGAAUAUUGUUAACUGACCUUCAUAACCUGCAGUGAUUAUUUUCUGGCUAUAGCUACAUGAGGGUAGCUGUACUUGUAUAUGGGGAUCCUGUAGUGCUGAGAACUCAACAGCUUAUAGAAGAAAAGGUGCAAAGUUUUCUCUGAUAACCAUGGCAGCCUACCAGAGCUUGUAUUAUUAAACAAAUAAUAGUUAUAUGCUACAUUCUGAUUGGUUGAUGGGGUUUAUAUCGCUUUAUUUCAUUAUAUGACACUGACUUGUUUCGUAGGUUAGCACAAACCAAAAUAGUGGCUUCUUGCAUUUUCUUUCUUUUAAAGGGGUGGUUCACCUUUAAUUUAAGGGUGGCUUGAACCCUAGCAACCAGAUUGCCGGAUAAAAAGCUAAUUAACUGAAAAACCACAAAUAAUAAAAAAAUUAAGACCAAUUGCAAAUCGUCUCAGAAUAUCAGUCUCUACAGCAUACGGAAAGUUAUUUUAAAGGUGAGCAACCCCUUUAAACACUGUCAACUUGGACUAAAAAUCAAUUUGCGUUAAUUACACCAAUUGCAUUAUGCACACCCUCUCCCUUUUAGGGACGGACUACAUGGAUAUCUUCAGCGCGAUCCAACGCGAAGCAACAAAACUCCUGCAAUAAGGUAAGAGAUAGAAAUGUCUGAUGAAUGGAGCGUUGAUCCGACGCGACACACGUGCAGCGUCUGCUCGUGUCUGAUCAGCGCUGCGACUUCACCUGACAUUUCUAUCUCUUACCUUAUUUUUGUCGCAUGCGUUUUGUCGCAGCGCGUUGGAUCCAUGUAGUCCUACCCUUACUCACUGUGAUUCUGCCUUCUCAUUUGCUUCUGACUGCCUUUCAUCUAAAUAUAAGUCUCUUCCUAGUGACAAAUGAACUGGAUUAUUUACUCGUUUGAUUUCAAUAGGGAAUGUCGUGCUCACAGCCCAGCAAUUUAUCAGCACUGAUUUGUCCUGAUUACUUUAAUGAUGUAUGUUUGGGGUUGUUGUAUUUUUUUUUGUACACACAGUAAAGUUGAACUUUGUAUUUACAGUACUGACAGCUUUAACUGUUUUCAUGUCAUUGCCUGAACUUUAUUGCCUUAGACUGGUCUGUUACGGGAAUAUAAAUGCAGAGCUUUUUAUAACAAUGCUUCUUUUAAAAUAAAAGUCAAAUACCACUA